rnacentral:lncRNA from 1 species
AAUAUUCCACUCAGUUUUAUCCACACUUUUAUACUAAUCAAAUUAAAUAGUGGCUUUUAAAAUUACUAAUUUUUUAGAAGAUUAGGUGUUUGUUUCCUUUGUAACCGGUCAAAUAUUUCUGUGUUUUGAAUUUUGGCGGGGGGAACUCUGUGUGGCCUGGUUGACUUUAUCAUGUUUCAAUUUUAUGUUAGGUUCAAUGGGAUGAACCUUCAUCAAUCUUGCGACCAGAUAGAGUAUCAUCGUGGGAAUUGGAGCCACUUGUUGCAACUACAACUACUACAAAUGCUCAACCAGCACAAAGGAACAAACGGUCACGACCACCUGUUUUACCAUCACCAGCUGCAUGGGAUGAACCUUCAUCAAUCUUGCGACCAGAUAGAGUAUCAUCGUGGGAAUUGGAGCCACUUGUUGCAACUACAACUACUACAAAUGCUCAAACAGCACAAAGGAACAAACGGUCACGACCAC